ensembl:lncRNA
AUCGUACGUACCGUAGUUUACGUUCAACGGAAGCACAUUGCACAACAGCUAGGCUGAAAUAAAAAUGGCUGGCAUACACCUAGAUGAAGAACAACCAUGGAAAAAAAACACCAAAAGUGAUGAAACGCCGGACAAAACAAGUAAGACAAGACCGACACUGUUACCAAUGUGGUGGGAGCGGUCACGUUGCGAAUAACGAAGAGUGUCCUGCGCAAGGUCAUGAACGUAGAAAGUGCCACCACAUGAACCACUUCACCACUUCUCGUUACGCACGUGUUACAGAGUCUGCAAAUUGUGUUGAAUCAAAGAAAAAAGAGAGUGAAGAUGAAGUCGGAGGGAGUUGACUUGACCACGACAACCAACGCAAGAGACAUAACAAGGAAACCAAGCGCUGCUCAGCCAUCGAGACAGAUUCAGCGGAGAAACAAAGCCAAGACUAAAAAGAAAGGACUCUCAGUAAAGGCACUCAGAAGUACGGAAGUGGUGGAAGAACCAUGCAUGGACGGACCGCGGAGAAAAGUGAGAUCAACCAGGAUUUCUCCAUGAUGUUUGGUGACGGAGUUUCUCAGAAGUUCCUGACAAAGUGGUCAACAUUCUUCAAGCCAAAAGUCAUUGCAGACUGCAAGACUCUUAAUAUGGGCGAGCUGCUGUCAGGAACUGAACCUGAAUCUGAGGACUACGACGGAUGGGACAGCGACAUGUCAUCAAUCCUUUUGCUGCUGCAUCUGCUCCCUCCAACCUCAAGAGGCCAGAAAAAAACAUCCAAGAUCAGUUCAGCUCAAGCAACCAGCCAUCUUGUGAGAUAUCUUAAGGAUAUUCGGAGGUGAACUGACCAUCUGACGAGACAACUGGACAUCCAGAUAAUCGAUGAGGAAAUUCUUCUUACUCACAGCUCCUAUGUGGACAUUUCCUAAGUUUAAUGCCUUAACCAAUCAGA